rnacentral:snRNA from 1 species
AUCGGUUCUCGGCUCUCUGGGCUAAGAUCAUGUGUAGUAUCUGUUCUUUGCAGUGUAAUUUCUGCAACGGUCCCCAAUUUAGGACCAAUGAAACGACCUGUAUUUUCCAGCCAGGACGGGGUGUUGUGAGCUUGCUCAAUCUUGUCCACGGGAUGGCCUCGUAUUGCAUUACCUCGAGGAUAGGCCCACUAAUG